UACCAGCACCCCGAGUGGUCGGGACGAUUAUUGGGCCUAAAGCAUCCGUAGCCGGCCUUACAAGUCCUCCGUUAAAUCCAGCUGCUUAACAGAUGGGCUGCGGAGGAUACUAUAAGACUAGGAGGCAGGAGAGGCAAGCGGUACUCAGUGGGUAGGGGUAAAAUCCGUUGAUCCAUUGAAGACCACCAGUGGCGAAGGCGGCUUGCCAGAAUGCG
rnacentral:rRNA from 1 species